rnacentral:rRNA from 1 species
UACGUAGGGAGCAAGCGUUGUCCGGAAUCAUUGGGCGUAAAGCGCGCGUAGGCGGCCCCGUAAGCCCGCUGUGAAAGUCAAAGGCUCAACCUUUGAAAGCCGGUGGAUACUGUGGGGCUAGAGUCCGGAAGAGGAGAGUGGAAUUCCCGGUGUAGCGGUGAAAUGCGCAGAUAUCGGGAAGAACACCCGUGGCGAAGGCGGCUCUCUGGGACGGUACUGACGCUGAGACGCGAAAGCGUGGGGAGCGAACAGG